AUUGCACCGCAAAGGUGGUCUUUAGUGAUUCCUGACAUAAUGUGGAAAGUUGUUUUGAAAACAACUUGUGCAGAAACUGAAUGGAGUAUCUCAUUUCUUCUGAUCAGACCCAUAUUAUGGGUUAUUCCAAUUUGUGACUUGUUACACAUUUCAGAGUAACAAAGUAAAGCAUGAUUAGCAUUUCCUAACCUUUUCCAGGAUUUCCUAUCAUAUCUGCAUGUAUAUAGUCUGCCAAGCUCUGGAGUUUUAUUGUAUUUUUUGGCUAGCAGGCAUCUUGGUAGGAUGAGAGAGGAUAAAUACACUUGCCUCACUUUAAAACUAUUUUUCCAUACUUACUCUCAGCCACAGUGUACAGAAAAAUAGCACACAUAUGAAUGAUUUCUUCUAUCUUGCUGUGAGUGGUGAGAGAGGCAUCUCUCCUGUUCCUCACAGCAUAAUAUCUUUAGAUGUUAUCUGCAGAAAUGGAAACAGUUCCAUUUGAAGCAAAAAAAGAAAAUGUGGCAUUUACUAUCCUGUGAUGCCUUCAGUGCACAGCUUUGUAUUUGUCUUAAAAUUACAGAACUGUAUUUUUUCGUUUAGUAGCUCUUCUCCCUCUACCUUGAGAAGCUAUAGAGAGUAUAGCAUUGAGUCAUACUGGUCUCUAGUGAUAACCAAGGACCAGUUUUCAAAGAGGAAAUAAACCUCUUAGCUGCAACAGUAACAGUCAUCUCUAAUAAUGUUUGAAUUGUUGUUUUGAUGAAUGAUACCAAAGUUUUGUUAAGACAAAUAUUUUCUUUUUUAGUAGAUAAGGAAAUUUGUAAAUUUGGUAUAUAGGAUAACACUGCCUUUCAUAUUUUCCUUUAAUAAUGAAGUUCAAGAUUAUUAACUCUGUGCUAAAGUCAGAAAGAAGUGGAUUAUUCCCCAACACAAAGCACUAGAAUACCAUUGAGAUCAUGUUUCACUUCAGUCAUUUUUUAAAAGGUUUAUUUUCAAUGUUAAUCAGCUAAAUAGCUCAGAGAAGAUAAUACGUUAUCAAAAUUUGUAAGUGACAUGAAGUUGAAAAUAGUGAGGUGGUUUACAGGAUUUUUAUUCCACCCUAUGAAACUGUAGCAAUAGACUAUAGGUGAAAAAGAUUAAUCAAAAUAUAAGGCUUUUCUGUGGAAAUAAAUAAUAACAGGUUCAAGAUGAAAAGGUAUUCUGUUGGCACAUAAUAAGUUGUACUGUAAGUCAAAGGGGGUGGGCACUACGUGGUUCUUCAAGGAAAGGUAGCUGCUGGGAAGCUUGACGGCCUUAGUUUAAUCUCUGGGACCCACAUAGUAGAAGAGAAGCCAACUCCUUCAGGUUGCCUCUGACCUUCAUACACACACUGUAGCAUAUAUAAUGCCCCCACUACCACCAAGACCAAUUGAAAUAAACGAUGGGACUAGACAACUAGAUCAAUAGUUAAGAGGAGUUUUUCUUGCAGACCCAUAUUCAGUUCCCAGCACCUAUAUUAGGUGGUUCAGAACUAUCCAGUAAAUCCAGGGGAUGCAACAUAUCUAGCCUCCAUCAGCACCUGCAUACACCUUCACAUACCGACCCACAGACAUGCAGAUAUACGU
rnacentral:lncRNA from 1 species